rnacentral:misc_RNA from 1 species
GAAUUGCGAUAAGUAAUGUGAAUUGCAGAAUUCAGUGAAUCAUCGAAUCUUUGAACGCACCUUGCGCCCUCUGGUAUUCCGGAGGGCAUGCCCGGUUGAGUGUCAUGAAUAUCUCAACUCUAACAUUUUGUUAACGGUCUUAGGGGUGAAUCCUGUGGUCUAGCGAGGCUGCGGGUAGUAAUCCUUAGGACUAAAGUGUUAGAGAUUGGACUUGAGUUCUGUUGGCCCGCUGGGUUGACUGACUUGAAAUUGAUUAGCGAUGCGUGAUCCCUUGGUUCCACUCGGCGUGAUAAGUUAUCUAUCGCUGAGGACACUGUAAAAGGUGGCCAAGGUAAAUGCAGAUGAACCGCUUCUAAUAGUCCAUUGACUUGGACAAUACUUUUAUGAUCUGAUCUCAAAUCAGGUAGGACUACCCGCUGAACUUAAGC